ACGAACGCUGGCGGCGUGCUUAACACCUGCAAGUCGAACGGAAAGGCCCUGCUUUUGUGGGGUGCUCGAGUGGCGAACGGGUGAGUAACACGUGAGUAACCUGCCCUUGACUUUGGGAUAACUUCAGGAAACUGGGGCUAAUACCGGAUAGGAGCUCCUGCUGCAUGGUGGGGGUUGGAAAGUUUCGGCGGUUGGGGAUGGACUCGCGGCUUAUCAGCUUGUUGGUGGGGUAGUGGCUUACCAAGGCUUUGACGGGUAGCCGGCCUGAGAGGGUGACCGGCCACAUUGGGACUGAGAUACGGCCCAGACUCCUACGGGAGGCAGCAGUGGGGAAUAUUGCACAAUGGGCGGAAGCCUGAUGCAGCAACGCCGCGUGCGGGAUGACGGCCUUCGGGUUGUAAACCGCUUUCGCCUGUGACGAAGCGUGAGUGACGGUAAUGGGUAAAGAAGCACCGGCUAACUACGU
rnacentral:rRNA from 1 species